rnacentral:rRNA from 1 species
CUUUCUUUAAUCAGUGAAACUAAUCUCCCCGUGAAGAAGCGGGGAUAAGCCUAUAAGACGAGAAGACCCUAUGGAGCUUUAAACAUAAGUAACAACUGCCCAUUAAAUUUUUUAAUCUCAGGAAAUUAAUCACAACACUUAGGCACUUUGAUUACAAGUUUUAGGUUGGGGUGACCGCGGAGCAAAAAAUAACCUCCGCAGUGAAUGGAACUUAUUUCCUAAACCCAGGGCUACGACCCUAAGAAUCAAUAAAUUGACACUGAUUGACCCAAUAUUUUUGAUCAAUGAACCAAGUUACCCUAGGGAUAACAGCGCAAUCCACUUCAAGAGCCCCUAUCGACAAGUGG